rnacentral:rRNA from 1 species
GCGAGUGGAGCGGAAACGACACUAACAAUCCUUCGGGUGCGUUAAUGGGCGUCGAGCGGCGGACGGGUGAGUAAUGCCUAGGAAAUUGCCUUGAUGUGGGGGAUAACCAUUGGAAACGAUGGCUAAUACCGCAUAAUGCCUACGGGCCAAAGAGGGGGAUCUUCGGACCUCUCGCGUCAAGAUAUGCCUAGGUGGGAUUAGCUAGUUGGUGAGGUAAUGGCUCACCAAGGCGACGAUCCCUAGCUGGUCUGAGAGGAUGAUCAGCCACACUGGAACUGAGACACGGUCCAGACUCCUACGGGAGGCAGCAGUGGGGAAUAUUGCACAAUGGGC